GUGAACGCUGGCGGCAUGUUUAAGGCAUGCAAGUCGAAUGUCUAGUUUACUAGGCAUGGCAGACGGGAGAGUAACACAUUGGUAAUCUACCUUUAUCUCGGGCAUAACCCGGAGAAAUCUGGAGUAAUUCCCGAUAAUUAUGGGGGGACAUAAGUCAUUCCCAUAUAAAGUUCCGACGGAUAGAGAGGAGCCUAUGGCCCAUCAGCUUGUUGGUAGGGUAAUGGCCUACCAAGGCUACGACGGGUAGCGGGUGUGAGAGCAUGGCCCGCCCCACUGGGACUGAGACACUGCCUAGACUCCUACGGGAGGCUGCAGUCAAGAAUCUUCCUCAAUGGACGAAAGUCUGAAGGAGCAAUUCCGCGUGGUUGAUGACGGUCUUCGGAUUGUAAAAACCUUUUAUCAGGGACGAAUUCGUGACGGUACCUGAUGAAUAAGUCACUGCUAACUUCGU
rnacentral:rRNA from 1 species